CCCCACCUACGGGGGGCAGCAGUAGGGAAUCUUCCACAAUGGACGAAAGUCUGAUGGAGCAACGCCGCGUGAGUGAAGAAGGGUUUCGGCUCGUAAAGCUCUGUUGGUAGUGAAGAAAGAUAGAGGUAGUAACUGGCCUUUAUUUGACGGUAAUUACUUAGAAAGUCACGGCUAACUACGUGCCAGCAGCCGCGGGAAUACGUAGGAGGCAAGCGUUGUCCGGAUUUAUUGGGCGUCAAGCGAGU
rnacentral:rRNA from 1 species